AUACGUAGGGUGCGAGCGUUGUCCGGAAUUACUGGGCGUAAAGAGCUCGUAGGUGGUUUGUCGCGUCGUCUGUGAAAUUCCGGGGCUUAACUCCGGGCGUGCAGGCGAUACGGGCAUAGCUUGAGUACUGUAGGGGAGACUGGAAUUCCUGGUGUAGCGGUGAAAUGCGCAGAUAUCAGGAGGAACACCGGUGGCGAAGGCGGGUCGCUGGGCAGUAACUGACGCUGAGGAGCGAAAGCAUGGGUAGCGAACAGGAGUAGAUGCCCUGGUAGUCCAUGCCGUAAACGGUGGGCGCUAGGUGUAGGGGUCUUCCACGACUUCUGUGCCGUAGCUAACGCAUUAAGCGCCCCGCCUGGGGAGUACGGCCGCAAGGCUAAAACUCAAAGGAAUUGACGGGG
rnacentral:rRNA from 1 species